rnacentral:rRNA from 1 species
GUGUCAGCCGCCGCGGUAAUACGUAGGGGGCGAGCGUUACCCGGAAUCACUGGGCGUAAAGGGGGCGUAGGCGGUUUGGCAAGUCAAGUGUGAAAUUCCACGGCUCAACUGUGGAGCUGCGCUUGAAACUGCCAAACUUGAGGCCAGUAGAGGGAGACGGAAUUGCCGGUGUAGGGGUGAAAUCCGUAGAUAUCGGCAAGAACGCCGGUGGGGAAGCCGGUCUCCUGGGCUGAGCCUGACGCUGAGGCCCGAAAGCUAGGGGAGCGAACGGGAUUAGAAACCCCGGUAGUCCACGCCGUAAACGAUGUCGACCAGGUGUUGGGGCGAAAGGCUUCAGCGCCGAAGCUAACGCGUUAAGCAUCCCGCCUGGGGACUACGGCCGCAAGGCUAAAACUCAAAGGAAUUGACGGGG